rnacentral:tRNA from 1 species
GCUCCUGUCGAUUAGUGGUAAGUCCACGGUCUCCAAAAUCGUUGUCGGUGGUUCGAUUCCAUCCGGGAGUGCCA